CUCUCGAGGCGAAACCUGAAAUGCUAGAGAAGUAAAUAAUAGGAAAUGGGCAUCUGGACACGCCCUCGAUUGAAACUGGGAGAAGAUCACUAACGGACCACGCGCCAUCAAUGGGUUUGGAAGAGUUGUCGGAUAUGGGGAACACACGGAAUCUAGGAUCCAGCAUCUUUCUAUAAAACGGGUAUCAAGGGCUUUUUCCCAGAUGGUAAAGUGGCAAGGAGCGUGAAGCUGACCAUUCAUCUCCAUCUGGCAUCGAGGUCAAGAA